CCUACGGGAGGCAGCAGUGGGGAAUAUUGCACAAUGGGGGAAACCCUGAUGCAGCGACGCCGCGUGAGCGAUGAAGUAUUUCGGUAUGUAAAGCUCUAUCAGCAGGGAAGAAGAUGACGGUACCUGACUAAUAAGCUCCGGCUAACUACGUGCCAGCAGCCGCGGUCAUACGUAGGGGGCAAGCGUUAUCCGGAUUUACUGGGUGUAAAGGGAGCGUAGACGGCGAUGCAAGCCAGAUGUGAAAGCCCGGGGCUCAACCCCGGGACUGCAUUUGGAACUGGGUGGCUUGAGUGUCGGAGAGGCAGGCGGAAUUCCUAGUGUAGCGGUGAAAUGCGUAGAUAUUAGGAGGAACACCAGUGGCGAAGGCGGCCUGCUGGACGAUGACUGACGUUGAGGCUCGAAAGCGUGGGGAGCAAACAGGAUUAGAUACCCGAGUAGUC
rnacentral:rRNA from 1 species